AACUUCAACUUAUGCGAUCGUUUCCAGUAAUCAUUUCGAUAUUUCCAAUUUAUUAUUAGAAUAUCCAUCAUUGAGAUGGACGUGAAAUUGAUACAAAUAGUUGUUUAUCAGAAAACAACAGAUAAAGUGUUCAGUGAAGACAGUGAACCAGUAAAGAGUGGUUGUGCGAAUUGAAAGAAACCGUAAAAAUGUUGCCUGUUUUAUUGAGAUUUGGUUUAUUUUGCUUCUGUUGGACGCCAUAUUGUAUACGGACACGUUUUUGCAUUUUAAUGUUUUACCCAUGCAUCAGCUCAAAAUGCUGAUAUCGAUCUGAGUGAUAGUGAAUUUGAUCAGUGUUCGGCAUUUGAAUGCGCCAAACCGUGGCCGGAAAUGUUCCGACUGAAUGAGGAUCUUGUUAACACAACCAAUAGCGGUUAUGUUAUCUCUAAUAAGGAUUUUAUACUUCAUCGAUGUCGAUCUUCUGGUGGCUGUUGUCCAAAUGUUGCAGAAUUUUGCGUAGCCAGCAAAACGAAUCCCGUUUGCAUUAAAUUCGAAUAUCAACGUUAUGAUUCCACUAGAAUCGAGAACAAAUUCAUUAUGAUGCCAAAUCACACUGAAUGUGGCUGUUCCAGGCCACAAACCAAGGAAACCGCAUCGUUAUACGAAAUGCUGGACCGUUGUGAUAGAACGAAGUGAAGCAUUUUUUACGAAUGCUUAUUGAAAGUGGAACGCCGAUAAUGCUGAAACAUUGUACAUUAUUCUGGAAAUGUAAGUGUUUUUGUGCUAGUAUCAGUAUUGCAGAAGAAAAAAGAUGAGUUUGUUGGUAUGUCUACUAGACGUUCCGCUUGUAAGUGCAACAAGCACUUUUUCCAUUAUCUAUUUACCAUAAUUGAUAAAACGCGCACUAUUACCGAUCAGUAAUUAGUAGGUUUUUUGUUGUAUUAAAUCCAAUUAUUACAUUAUUGUGUCGUUUGGAUGGCGCUUAAAUUCCCAGUAAGAAGAAACACGUAACAAAGGCGUCAAUUCCAGGUGAUUAGUCUUCGUAAGAUCACAAUAAACACCGAUAAUCGACGACUCACUGACGUAUAACAAAGUGCGGUUGAAUCACGUGCCACUUAUUAGGGUGUAUUAUUGCCCUACUUUGAUCAUUAACUUUGGAUUUAUGGGGGUUGGCAGAUUAUAAAUUAUGUGUGAGUAUGAAAGGAGACAACACUUCGACGAAUCCCAGUGUUUACCGAAAAACAAAAAAACUUCCAUCAAGAAAAGAGCACAUCGUUUUUAAUGGAAUAUUAAUAAAUUUUCGUCCAACAUUCUUGCGAAAUAUUUGAAAGUAUAAGACAAAGUUUGCUCUCGGUAUUUCCAAGAAUUGUUUUUGUCCGUUUUAACUGGACUCUGCAUAUACGCAGUACUUAAUGCUACUGCUUAAUUCUGUUAUUUCAAGUGAAAGAAAAUAUUAUGUUUAGUUUACACAUGGAUUUUUUAUGCGGCUUAUGCUAUUUACUUUGGCCUCUUCAUAAAAACCAUGCGAAUUUUCCUGUUAUUGUUAGACGAUUUGAUAAAGAAUUCCGUGUUUGUACCGGUUUUUUGGUUAAAUUCUAUUCAAUUGCUGAACUAAAAAUUUGAUAUGUUUUAUAUACAAGGUGUUUGUGUGGCUUGUUAUGGGUGAUAAGUACAGUGUCGUCUGCAUAUUGCAGAAAAUAUUUUGAUUCUUCUACUAGUUCUUGGUCUUGUAAAGAGAACCAUCGAUUCACGUUUUCCUAUUAUUUCAUGCAGCCUGUUUUCAUGUACGUGUUGAAACAGUUUGCUUAGUACCGGGAUUAAAGUAUUUGUUUGUUUUGCUUAUGUUGUUUAAGGAUUUGUUGAAUCCAUUCUUUGCUAUGGUUUUUUUAUUCCGUUUUUCCAUGUCGUUGCGACAUUGUGUUUUUAAUUCCAUUGUUGAGUUGCCUCAGUAUAAUGUCGAGUGAUUCGGAGUUAAGCUUUUCAGUAUUUUACUUUUUAUUUGGUCGUGGUGCUGUAAUUUUCACGUUCAUUUGUUUUCGUUACAUUUCGUGUCUGUGAUUUGUAUGCAUGUGCGUUUUGAUGGUUUCAAAGUAAUUUUAAGAAUGUUCAAUUUAUUGUGAAACUGAUUAUUGGUUGCUUUGAUUAGUCUUGUUCACUUGUAUUGUAUGUGUUAUACGUUGUAUUGUUUUACUUUGAGUCUACAUUCUUAUGGGUGAUUCGCUUUAUCCAUGAAAUGCAGUUGAACUUUUCUGUGGCAAUAAAGCAUAUUUUAGUUUGGUUUGAAUGUUUUUCAAAAUUAUUUGGUCAAUGCUGUAGGAAUGUGUAUAAUUUUGAACAUUUGCGUAUAUAGUGACAGUUUAUUAAUAUUUCUUCGGUACGACCUUUUUGUCGCAAUUUUUUUCAAUAUCACUUGCGUGCCUCUAGCCAUUUGCUCUCUUUCGUUUCAAAUAUUACAUUAGUAAAUUAAUGUGAGAGUAUCUUUUUUGUCAACAAUUUCAAAUAUUUGAGCUCAAAAAGUUACGUAAUGCUAUAAAAAAGCAUAUCACAACAUUAAUGUAUAUAUAACGCACAAGGCCGUUAAAAUUUGAACCCCGUAUUUGUUUUUACUUUAUGUAACUUACAUACAUUUUACUGUUAAGGUGAAAUUUCCUG